AUUGAACGCUGGCGGCAGGCCUAACACAUGCAAGUCGAACGGUAGCACAGAGAGCUUGCUCUCGGGUGACGAGUGGCGGACGGGUGAGUAAUGUCUGGGAAACUGCCGAUGGAGGGGGAUAACUACUGGAAACGGUAGCUAAUACCGCAUAACGUCGCAAGACCAAAGUGGGGGACCUUCGGGCCUCACACCAUCGGAUGUGCCCUGAUGGGAUUAGCUAGUAGGUGGGGUAAUGGCUCACCUAGGCGACGAUCCCUAGCUGGUCUGAGAGGAUGACCAGCCACACUGGAACUGAGACACGGUCCAGACUCCUACGGGAGGCAGCAGUGGGGAAUAUUGCACAAUGGGCGCAAGCCUGAUGCAGCCAUGCCGCGUGUAUGAAGAGGGCCUUCGGGUUGUAAAGUACUUUCAGCGGGGAGGAAGGCUGUGAAGUUAAUAGCUUCACCGAUUGACGUUACCCGCAGAAGAAGCACCGGCUAACUCCGUGCCAGCCGCCGCCGUAA
rnacentral:rRNA from 1 species